GCCCUGUGAUGCAGCUGGGACCAAGCUGUUUCCCUUUGGGCUUCACUUUCCUCCUGGAGUCAGGAAUGUUGGAGAAAGAGAUGAUUGCAUUAUGCUGCACAUGAAAGGGGUGAAGAUGGAGACACAAACCAAGAAAGAUGGUCUGAGCAGAGUGGCAAAUUUGAGUGGCGAUAGGAGAAGAAAAUAACCCUCAUGAAGUCAUGGACAACAUUACUUUGCUGCCAUUGAUAGGUGACAGUACACAUCGGGUACUGCCAACCAGGGAAGCUCACCCAAGCCUUUGGUGAGCCAGAGGUUUU
rnacentral:lncRNA from 13 species